rnacentral:tRNA from 1 species
GGGGAUUUAGCUCAGUGGCUCAGCUUCUGCCUUGCAAGCUCAAAGGCCUGAGUUUGAUCCCCAGUACCCCCC